GAUGAACGCUGGCGGCGUGCCUAACACAUGCAAGUCGAGCGAUCUUCUUCGGAAGGGAGCGGCGGACGGGUGAGUAACGCGUGGGUAACCUGCCCUGUACACACGGAUAACAUACCGAAAGGUAUGCUAAUACGGGAUAACAUAAGAAAGUCGCAUGGCUUUCUUAUCAAAGCUUUUGCGGUACAGGAUGGACCCGCGUCUGAUUAGCUAGUUGGUAAGGUAACGGCUUACCAAGGCGACGAUCAGUAGCCGACCUGAGAGGGUGAUCGGCCACAUUGGAACUGAGACACGGUCCAAACUCCUACGGGAGGCAGCAGUGGGGAAUAUUGCACAAUGGGCGAAAGCCUGAUGCAGCAACGCCGCGUGAGCGAUGAAGGCCUUCGGGUCGUAAAGCUCUGUCCUCAAGGAAGAUAAUGACGGUACUUGAGGAGGAAGCCCCGGCUAACUACGUGCCAGCAGCCGCGGUAAUACGUAGGGGGCUAGCGUUAUCCGGAAUUACUGGGCGUAAAGGGUGCGUAGGCGGUCUUUCAAGUCAGAAGUGAAAGGCUACGGCUCAACCGUAGUAAGCUUUUGAAACUGUAAGACUUGAGUGCAGGAGAGGAGAGUGGAAUUCCUAGUGUAGCGGUGAAAUGCGUAGAUAUUAGGAGGAACACCAGUUGCGAAGGCGGCUCUCUGGAC
rnacentral:rRNA from 1 species